UCUUUCACUUUUGAUGAGAAACCCAUUACUAUCAAGUUUACAAGGUUAGUCUUAAUAUAUUUUCAGUCAAUUAGUGGAUUUCAAAUUCUAAUUACGCUCAUAAUACACUUCAUUUAAAUUUUGAUAUGCUAUAAAAUAUUCUUUUAUGGGAGGUAAAGUGUUUUACGUUGCUCCCUUUGUUUUUUCUUAUAAGUUAGUCUAUAAAUGAGAAUUUCACAUGUAACAUGUAAUUAAAAUGAGGGAUAUGUUGCUCCAGAAACUGUGGGUGUUUGUAGGUUCAUUGUGUGCUACAACUUUGGCACACUAACACAAUAUGGCUGCUUGAUUAUCCUCUCAAUAUAUAUGUAUCCUCACACCCUAUAUUUAUAUAUUAACUUUCAGGUAUGGCAGGGCAUGAGGUAACGCGGUAUGUGAGUAGGAGCAGGUAAAAUUGCACUUGCUAGGGAGCUUAGGCGUAGCGAUGAAGAUGAAAACUUUAUUUAUGAAGCAUUACUGUAUGAAAUGUUAUUUUCAAAACUUACAGUUAUGAAGUAAAAUGCAUGCAUAAUAAUAUGAUAUCUCUUAAGAUUUCAUAAAAACUGGCAAUUAACUUACUGAGUGCGUUAGUAUUUACUAUUUACCCCGAAAUUCUUUAUAUAUUUUCAGGAUGAACGACAAGGACGGGCAGGUUUUAGUUACAUGACUCGCAAUUGGUGUUUUCGUCUUGAUCUGUUUCAUCAUUUGGAGUUUGUGUCACCAAUCAUACUUGACUGUCUUUCUAUUUAGUA
rnacentral:lncRNA from 1 species